GCCAGUUCAUGUCAGUUUGGAACAUUUCUUGGCAACUUCGAACGAGAACGAAAAGAGCUAGAAUUUAGUAGUCAAGCGUAUUCAUUGUGGGAUUUGUAUGGGAGAAUGCGAGUCAGUAUUUGAAUCUCAUGUAUCGACCAAUGACGAAAUACACUGAAAUGAUGCUUCAUCCAGACACUAGCCCACAGAGAAUACAGUUUUGUCAAGGAAUGUGCAAUCAUCAUGGUCACGCUGUGCUGCCUCUGCAAUCAACACAAUCUUGUCUUGUAAGCUUCAUACGAGAAACAGAGAAUUGGCAGAAAGAGAAAUCAGUCUUAGAACAUGUUAAUACAUCAACACAGACAGAAUCAUGGUAUAAAUAGAAUAAUAAAUCAACAGACAAGCAGACAGAAACAGAAGUGUAUUGCAAGACAAGAGUAACAAAAUAAUAAAUUUUA